CCUACGGGCGGCAGCAGUGAGGAAUAUUGGUCAAUGGGCGCGAGCCUGAACCAGCCAAGUCGCGUGAAGGAUGACUGCCCUACGGGUUGUAAACUUCUUUUAUAAAGGAAUAAAGUGAGGCACGUGUGCACUUUUGUAUGUACUUUAUGAACAAGCAUCGGCUAACUCCGUGCCAGCAGCCGCGGUAAUACGGAGGAUCCGAGCGUUAUCCGGAUUUAUUGGGUUUAAAGGGAGCGUAGAGGGGUUGUUAAGUCAGGUGUGAAAGUUUGGGGCUCAAACGUAAAAUUGCAGUUGAUACUGGCAGCCUUGAGUACAGUAGAGGUAGGCGGAAUUCGUGGUGUAGCGGUGAAAUGCUUAGAUAUCACGAAGAACUCCGAUUGCGAAGGCAGCCUACUAGACUGCCACUGACGUUGAUGCUCGAAAGUGUGGGGAUCAAACAGGAUUAGAUACCCGGGUAGUC
rnacentral:rRNA from 1 species